rnacentral:rRNA from 1 species
UAACGCGUGAGGAACCUGCCUCAAAGAGGGGGACAACAGUUGGAAACGACUGCUAAUACCGCAUAAGCCCACGGCUCGGCAUCGAGCAGAGGGAAAAGGAGCAAUCCGCUUUGAGAUGGCCUCGCGUCCGAUUAGCUGGUUGGUGAGGUAAUGGCCCACCAAGGCGACGAUCGGUAGCUGGACUGAGAGGUUGAACGGCCACAUUGGGACUGAGACACGGCCCAG